UCCGGCUUAACCCCGGCAGUCUCCUACGAGUCCCCGGCAUUAUCCGCUGGCAACAUAGGACAAGGGUUGCGCUCGUUGCGGGACUUAACCCAACAUCUCACGACACGAGCUGACGACAGCCAUGCACCACCUGUGAACCUGCCCCGAAGGGAAGGUGUGUUUCCACACCGGUCAGGUACAUGUCAAGCCCAGGUAAGGUUCUUCGCGUUGCGUCGAAUUAAACCACAUGCUCCGCUGCUUGUGCGGGUCCCCGUCAAUUCCUUUGAGUUUUAGCCUUGCGGCCGUACUCCCCAGGCGGGGCACUUAACGCGUAAGCUGCGACACGGAGAGGGCCGAUCCCCCCCGCAUCCAGUGCCCAUCGUUUACGGCGUGGACUAC
rnacentral:misc_RNA from 1 species